rnacentral:lncRNA from 1 species
UGAAUUGACAAAUAUAUGUCUUCAAUAUUGAUCGUUAAAGAUUUGUUCCGAAGAUUCGACCAUGGAAUUUCCAGCGUAAACGUGCCAAUUAAACCACUAGUGAUUUCAAUGGGAAUUCCGAGUUUAUCUAAGGCCUAUAAAACAAUUGUCAGUGAAACUGCAAUCAAUCGUUCAUUUUUAGUUACCUCAGGUUUUAUUCGUAAAUUAUGCAAACUAACAUGGCCACCCCAAACGCCGAUGUUUAGUUGUUUAGUAUCCAAGUUGUCAACAUACGAACCUAAAAUUUUGUUCAAGAGGCCUAAUUAUUUUAUUAAUAUCAAUGUCUUUCAAAAAAAGGUAUAAUUCAUACCGGCAACUAGGCCUUCUAACAUGUUUGUUGGCUCUUUGACACUGAAAUUAGGUAAAAGGCAGUUGGCAUCCGACUUGGUGAAAGUUAGCAAUGCAAUUGCGAAUAGAGGAAUGUUUUGUUGAAAAAGAAAAUCUUUUUAUUCCAUUUAUACAUUUAACAAAAUUAUUCAAUAUAAAAAGAAAACGAUUAUGAGAAGAGGAAACUUCAUUUCCGUAUAACGCACCUUUUUAUCAUCAAACGGAUUGAGUCUAAGUGAAAGGAGUAUUACUUUACUUAUUUGAACAAACUAAAUCUUUUUUUUUUAUUAAAUCAGUUAAAUUAAAAUCCUUCAAAUGUACAUAGGACUUGUUUACGGCGCUAAGUGCCACACCAUUGAAUGCGUCAACAAGUCAGCUUUAUCGAACGAUAAGUAGGAUACUUUGCUUAACUAGUUUUGAUUGCGAAGCACAUGAUUAUUAUCAAAUUUAAACAUACUUAAUUGUUCAUAAGCAAAUUUAUUAUAAGGCAAAAUGAGUAAGACGGAUAGCUGUUACAAACUUAAAGAAUCGCUGUAAAAUUAAUUCAUUAGUUAAGUCAGAAACAAAUACUGAAUUAAAAAUAUUAACCGAAUAUGUAAAUUCUAAAGAAAAUGAAACAAACGAAGAGCGAAUGUGUUAUAUUAUCGCUUAGAAAAAAAAAAAAAAAAAAAGAAAAUACAUUAGAAUAGAUAACGAAAGGCAAGAGUUUUAACUAGGCUCUGAAAAAAAAAAAACACUCUUGACACCGUACCAAAAAGGAAAUUGUGUGUCAAAAUUGAAGUAAAACGUGAAGGAAAUUAGGAAUUAUCGCGGGGAAUGAGGAUGCUUGAAAUUAGUCUUGAUUUUCACUGAGGCAUCCCAUUUCUAAAAGGUCGUUGCGGAUGUCAUCAAAAGAAGCUGUUUCGAUAAUAGGUGCUGUCGGAAACCCAGCAAAACUAUUAAGCUCACACAAAACUGCAGCUUCAUAUUCAAUUCGUUGCUUCUGUAACAAGGCACUUUGGCGAUAUGACAUGGUUUUUUGAGUAAUAUAUGUGGGAUCGUGAACAGAUUUUUGUUUGUUUAAAAGCUGAAAGCACUUCGUUGCAAUUUUGGUUAGAAGCGCUUGUCGUAUUCUUCUUUUAUCAAACAGUAACUGAUACUUCCUCUGUUUCGUUACAUAGUCCAUUACGUUUUUUAUAUUCCCAAGUUGUUUCAUGAGGUUUUCAGUAGCUAAACGCACACGAUCAUCUCGCCGCUCUGUUAUAAGAUCAAUGCAGGCAUUAAAACGCUCAUGGGUUUCGUUUUGUAUCAUUUCCUCAUGCUCGUUCAGCUUUAACAGUUUCUUCCCAUAUAAACGGUUUCGUAAAAAAGUAAACUCCGUUUCUAUAUUUAGCAAAGCAUCAAACGCUUCUUUCCGUUUUAUAGCCUUUUCAUCGUCAGCUUCAUGAGCCUGUUCAGAUGCGGAACGACGAUCUGCAAUCUCACGAUCGGAUUCCUCUUGGCUGGUCUCAAGAGCUACCCUUUUUAUUUUGCUCUCACUGUUAGUAGACCAUUUUCGAGAAACUGUUGCACGUUUACGCUUUCGACUUCCAACGCCACUUCGAGGACCACCUUUUCUGGGUGCUUCUAAAGUUCCACCUCUUUGUGGUAUCUGGUGGUCAGAAUCUUCGGUUCUUUCAAUAUUCGACUCUUCGUCUUCUUCCUCCUCAUGCUCAGAAGACUCCUCAAGUUUCGAGUUGUGGUUAGUCUCUAUGAGUCCAUUGUUGUCAUUGGUAGCUUUUUCUUCAGACUCAAAGUCAGAUUCCUUCAAUGAAGGACUAACAAUGGUUAUAUUUGCUGUGUUUUCCAUCUGAGGUUCCACAGAGUUGUUUACCAGUAUGGUUCUGCCAAUUGCACUUGAGUCACCUAAGUCCUCAGUGACUGAUACCGAACCAACUAAAGAUGUUUCUUUCUCUUCAUCUUCAUUUAAGACUACAGUUUCUGCCUCAGAUACAUUAUCAUGAUCUGUUACCUCUAAUUUAGGAAGUGACGCUAACUGAUGAGUUGUGAGGGACGUGGAACUGUUCAGUUUGUUCACUGGCGAGUUUUUUUCAAUGAUUUCAGAAUUUUGAGAAGGCAAUUGAGGUGCGAUAAUAUCCUCAUUAGCAUUGGUCUCUGGAUUAGAUAGAGCCGAAUCAACAACCUGCUCACUUUCAGCGAUCGA